GGAAAGGCGCGCGAUACAGGGUGACAGCCCCGUACACAAAAAUGCACAUGCUGUGAGCUCGAUGAGUAGGGCGGGACACGUGGUAUCCUGUCUGAAUAUGGGGGGACCAUCCUCCAAGGCUAAAUACUCCUGACUGACCGAUAGUGAACCAGUACCGUGAGGGAAAGGCGAAAAGAACCCCGGCGAGGGGAGUGAAAAAGAACCUGAAACCGUGUACGUACAAGCAGUGGGAGCACGCUUAGGCGUGUGACUGCGUACCUUUUGUAUAAUGGGUCAGCGACUUAUAUUCUGUAGCAAGGUUAACCGAAUAGGGGAGCCGAAGGGAAACCGAGUCUUAACUGGGCGUUAAGUUGCAGGGUAUAGACCCGAAACCCGGUGAUCUAGCCAUGGGCAGGUUGAAGGUUGGGUAACACUAACUGGAGGACCGAACCGACUAAUGUUGAAAAAUUAGCGGAUGACUUGUGGCUGGGGGUGAAAGGCCAAUCAAACCGGGAGAUAGCUGGUUCUCCCCGAAAGCUAUUUAGGUAGCGCCUCGUGAAUUCAUCUCCGGGGGUAGAGCACUGUUUCGGCAAGGGG
rnacentral:rRNA from 1 species